ACGGAAGGCAGCAGUAGGGCAUAUUGCACAAUGGGGGAAACCCUGAUGCAGCGACGCCGCGUGAGUGAUGAAGUAUUUCGGUACGUAAAGCUCUAUCAGCAGGAAAGAUAAUGACGGUACCUGACUAAGAAGCCCCGGCUAACUACGUGCCAGCAGCCGCGGUAAUACGUAGGGGGCAAGCGUUAUCCGGAUUUACUGGGUAUAAAGGGAGUGUAGGUGGCGUGGCAAGUCAGAUGUGAAAGCCCGCGGCUCAACCGCGGGACUGCAUUUGAAACUGUCAUGCUAGAGUGCAGGAGAGGAAAGUGGAAUUCCUAGUGUAGCGGUGAAAUGCGUAGAUAUUAGGAGGAACACCAGUGGCGAAGGCGGCUUUCUGGACUGUUACUGACACUGAGGCUCGAAAGAGUGGGGAGCAAACAGGAUUAGAUACCCUGGUA
rnacentral:rRNA from 1 species